rnacentral:rRNA from 1 species
ACUCCUACGGGAGGCAGCAGUGGGGAAUAUUGCACAAUGGGGGAAACCCUGAUGCAGCCAUGCCGCGUGUGUGAAGAAGGCCUUCGGGUUGUAAAGCACUUUCAGUAGGGAGGAAGGUAGUGUAGUUAACACCUGCAUCAUUUAGAUUCGACUGAUUACCCUUAACCAAGGAAAAGGAAAGCACCGGCUAACUCCGUGCCAGCAGCCGCGGUAAUACGGAGGGUGCGAGCGUUAAUCGGAAUUACUGGGCGUAAAGCGCAUGCAGGCGGCCUGUUAAGUCAGAUGUGAAAGCCCGGGGCUUAACCUCGGAAUUGCAUUUGAAACUGGCAGGCUAGAGUCUUGUAGAGGGGGGUGAGAA